GAUGAAGAACGCAGCGAAAUGCGAUACUUGGUGUGAAUUGCAGAAUCCCGUGAACCAUCGAGUCUUUGAACGCAAGUUGCGCCCGAAGCCAUUAGGCCGAGGGCACGCCUGCCUGGGCGUCACACGUCGUUGCCCCCCAUCUACUCCUUCGGUAUUGCGGGGGGCGGAUGAUGGCCUCCCGUGCGCCUCGUCGCGCGGUUGGCAUAAAUGCCAAGUCCUCGGCGACGCACGCCACGACAAUCGGUGGUUGCGAAACCUCGGUUGCCCGUCGUGUGCGGUCGUCGCGCAUCGAGGGCUCGAAAAAAUUGUCGGGCUCCGGCUCGGCUUUCAACGCGACCCCAGGUCAGGCGGGGUUACCCGCUGAAUUUAAGCAUAUCAAUAAGCGGAGGA
rnacentral:misc_RNA from 1 species